rnacentral:rRNA from 1 species
AACGCGAAGAACCUUACCUGGGUUUGACAUCCUCUGACCGCCUAUGAAAGUAGGUUUCCUCGCAAGAGGCAGAGAGACAGGUGCUGCAUGGCUGUCGUCAGCUCGUGUCGUGAGAUGUUGGGUUAAGUCCCGCAACGAGCGCAACCCUUAUCUUUAGUUGCCAUCGGGUUAUGCUGGGCACUCUAGAGAGACCGCCGGUGACAAACCGGAGGAAGGUGGGGAUGACGUCAAGUCCUCAUGGCCUUUAUAUCCAGGGCUACACACGUGCUACAAUGGCCGGUACAAAGGGCUGCGAACCCGUGAGGGGGAGCUAAUCGGAAAAAGCCGGCCUCAGUUCGGAUUGGAGUCUGCAACUCGACUCCAUGAAGCUGGAAUCGCUAGUAAUCGCGGAUCAGAACGCCGCGGUGAAUACGUUCCCGGGCCUUGUACACACCGAGACGAC